GGUGUGUGUGUGUGUACAUAUAUAUGGAUAUGUAUACAUACACACAUAUACAUACAUACAUACAUGCAUACACACACACACACA